GAUGAAGAACGCAGCGAAAUGCGAUAAGUAAUGUGAAUUGCAGAAUUCAGUGAAUCAUCGAAUCUUUGAACGCACAUUGCGCCCGUCAGUAUUCUGGCGGGCAUGCCUGUUCGAGCGUCAUUACGCCCCUCAAGUCCCCUGUGGACUUGGUGUUGGGGAUCGGCGAGGCUGGUUUUCCAGCACAGCCGUCCCUUAAAUUAAUUGGCGGUCUCGCCGUGGCCCUCCUCUGCGCAGUAGUAAAACACUCGCAACAGGAGCCCGGCGCGGUCCACUGCCGUAAACACCCCAACUUUUUAUAGUUGACCUCGAAUCAGGUAGGACUACCCGCUGAACUUAAGCAUAUCAAUAAGCGGAGGA
rnacentral:misc_RNA from 1 species